GAAUGGCAGUAAAUCUAACUUAUUUAGACAGUCUGCAUUUCCUCCCAAUGCUGAAAAAGCACUUCAUUAGCAUGCUUAUCUUUCUGUUUUGUGUAAGUCUCCUCAAACAGACAUAGGGUCCUUUAACAACAAUUAGUUAUGUCAUUUUGUUCUUAUUUAAAAAGGAUUUCUAAUGUACUUUAAAACAUCUUUGUACAUUUUAGUUUGUCUUAUUGUAAUUCAAUUUUUUUUCUAGUUACUGGUACUAGUUUGGGGUUUGGAAGAGGUAGGUAUCUGAUUGGUUUCCUACUCCCAAGAUCGGAGCCUUUAGGAAGAUCAUAAAGGUUGCUUCUUUGACUGUGAAGGUCACAACUUCUGCAGCACUUCAUCAAUUCCAGUGCUACCCUGCUUUGUUGGGGUCUCCCUCCAUUUCAGAGGACAGAAGAUGGACAGAAGAGGACAGAAGAACUGUACUGUAGGACCAGGUAGGAGGUUUGCAAGGCUAGAAGAGGCCCACCACAAAUGAAAUGGCAUACAAAGAACUUGAUUAUUAAUUUUUGAAGAGUCAAUGAAUCCUUGCUGA